rnacentral:rRNA from 1 species
CGGAGGAACAUGUGGUUUAAUUCGAUGAUACGCGAGGAACCUUACCUGGGCUUAAAUGUAGAGUGCAUUUUUUAGAGAUAGAAAUUCCCUUCGGGGCUUUCUGCAAGGUGCUGCAUGGUUGUCGUCAGCUCGUGCCGUGAGGUGUCGGGUUAAGUCCCAUAACGAGCGCAACCCUUAUCGUUAGUUGCCAUCUGGUAAUGCAGGGGACUCUAGCGAAACUGCCACCGUAAGGUGAGAGGAAGGUGGGGAUGACGUCAAAUCAGCACGGCCCUUAUGUCCAGGGCUACACACGUGCUACAAUGGUCGGUACAAAGGGUUGCCAAGCCGCGAGGUGGAGCUAAUCCCAUAAAACCGAUCGUAGUCCGGAUCGCAGUCUGCAACUCGACUGCGUGAAGUCGGAAUCGCUAGUAAUCGUGAAUCAGAAUGUCACGGUGAAUACGUUCCCGGGCCUU